GACGAACGCUGGCGGCGCGCCUAACACAUGCAAGUCGAACGAGCGAGAGAGAGCUUGCUUUCUCGAGCGAGUGGCGAACGGGUGAGUAACGCGUGAGGAACCUGCCUCAAAGAGGGGGACAACAGUUGGAAACGACUGCUAAUACCGCAUAAGCCCACGGCUCGGCAUCGAGCAGGGGGAAAAGGAGCAAUCCGCUUUGAGAUGGCCUCGCGUCCGAUUAGCUAGUUGGUGGGGUAACGGCCCACCAAGGCGACGAUCGGUAGCCGGACUGAGAGGUUGAACGGCCACAGUGGGACUGAGACACGGCCCAGACUCCUACGGGAGGCAGCGGUGGGGAAUAUUGCACAAUGGGGGAAACCCUGAUGCAGCGACGCCGCGGGGAGGAAGAAGGUCUUCGGAUUGUAAACUCCUGUUGUUGGGGAAGAUAAUGACGGUACCCAACAAGGAAGUGACGGCUAACUACGUG
rnacentral:rRNA from 1 species